CAGCAGCCGCGGUAAUACGAAGGGUGCAAGCGUUAAUCGGAAUUACUGGGCGUAAAGCGUGCGUAGGCGGUUUGUUAAGUCUGUUGUGAAAUCCCCGGGCUCAACCUGGGAAUGGCAAUGGAUACUGGCAAGCUAGAGUGUGUCAGAGGAUGGUGGAAUUCCCGGUGUAGCGGUGAAAUGCGUAGAGAUCGGGAGGAACAUCAGUGGCGAAGGCGGCCAUCUGGGACAACACUGACGCUGAGGCACGAAAGCGCGGGGAGCAAACAGGAUUAGAUACCCCUGUAGUCCCUGUCUCUUAUAC
rnacentral:rRNA from 1 species